rnacentral:rRNA from 1 species
UACGAAGGGAGCUAGCGUUACUCGGAAUUACUGGGCGUAAAGCGUGCGCAGGCGGUCUGUUAAGUUGGAAGUGAAAGCCCAGGGCCUAACCCUGGAACUGCUUUCAAAACUAGCAGACUUGAAUAUUGGAGGAGAUGGCGGAAUUCCUAGUGUAGAGGUGAAAUUCGUAGAUACUAGGAGGAACACCGGUGGCGAAAGCGGCCAUCUGGCCAAAUAUUGACGCUGUUGCACGAAAGCGUGGGGAGCAAACAGG